rnacentral:rRNA from 1 species
GAUGAACGCUGGCGGCGUGCCUAAUACAUGCAAGUCGAACGAAACUUCUUUAUCACCGAGUGCUUGCACUCACCGAUAAAGAGUUGAGUGGCGAACGGGUGAGUAACACGUGGGCAACCUGCCCAAAAGAGGGGGAUAACACAUGGAAACAGGUGCUAAUACCGCAUAACCAUAGUUACCGCAUGGUAACUAUGUAAAAGGUGGCUAUACUACCGCUUUUGGAUGGGCCCGCGGCGCAUUAGCUAGUUGGUAGGGUAAAGGCUUACCAAGGCAAUGAUGCGUAGCCGAAUUGAGAGGUUGAUCGGCCACAUUGGGACUGAGACACGGCCCAAACUCCUACGGGAGGCAGCAGUAGGGAAUCUUCCACAAUGGGCGAAAGCCUGAUGGAGCAACGCCGCGUGGGUGAAGAAGGUCUUCGGAUCGUAAAACCCUGUUGUUAGAGAAGAAAGUGCGUGAGAGUAACUGUUCACGUUUCGACGGUAUCUAACCAGAAAGCCACGGCUAACUACGUG